AGUGAACGCUGGCGGCAGGCCUAAUACAUGCAGGUCGAACGGCAGCACAGCAGAGCUUGCUCUGUGGGUGGCGAGUGGCGGACGGGUGAGGAAUACGUGGGAAUCUGCCCAGUCGUGGGGAUAACGUAGGGAAACUUACGCUAAUACCGCAUGCGCCCUUCGGGGAAAGCCGGGGGACCUUCGGGCCUGGCGCGAUUGGAUGAGCCCACGUCGGAUUAGCUAGUUGGCGGGGUAAAGGCCCACCAAGGCGACGAUCCGUAGCUGGUCUGAGAGGAUGAUCAGCCACACUGGAACUGAGACACGGUCCAGACUCCUACGGGAGGCAGCAGUAGGGAAUAUUGGACAAUGGGCGCAAGCCUGAUCCAGCCAUGCCGCGUGAGUGAAGAAGGACCCUCGGGUUGUAAA
rnacentral:rRNA from 1 species